UACGGAGGGUGCAAGCGUUAUCCGGAUUCACUGGGUUUAAAGGGUGCGUAGGCGGGCAGGUAAGUCAGUGGUGAAAUCUUCAAGCUUAACUUGGAAACUGCCAUUGAUACUAUCUGUCUUGAAUACCGUGGAGGUGAGCGGAAUAUGUCAUGUAGCGGUGAAAUGCUUAGAUAUGACAUAGAACACCAAUUGCGAAGGCAGCUCGCUACACGAAUAUUGACUCUGAGGCACGAAAGCGUGGGGAUCAAACAGGA
rnacentral:rRNA from 1 species